rnacentral:rRNA from 1 species
UCGAGGAUCUUCGGCAAUGGGCGCAAGCCUGACCGAGCGACGCCGCGUGCGCGAAGAAGGCCUUCGGGUUGUAAAGCGCUGUCGAGGGGGAGGAAAGCCCGCAAGGGUCUGACCUAUCCCUGGAGGAAGCACGGGCUAAGUUCGUGCCAGCAGCCGCGGUAAGACGAACCGUGCGAACGUUGUUCGGAAUCACUGGGCUUAAAGGGCGCGUAGGCGGCUUCUCAAGUCCGGGGUGAAAGCUUUCGGCUCAACCGGAAAAGUGCCUUGGAUACUGGGAAGCUCGAGGGAGGUAGGGGCGGCCGGAACUUCCGGUGGAGCGGUGAAAUGCGUAGAUAUCGGAAGGAACGCCGGUGGCGAAAGCGGGCCGCUGGACCUCUACUGACGCUGAGGCGCGAAAGCCAGGGGAGCGAACGGGAUUAGAUACCCCUGUAGUCC